rnacentral:snRNA from 11 species
AAAUGUGAGGGGUAAAAUGUGAUCUGGUUGCGACAUCUGUCACCCCAUUGAUCGUCAGGUAGAUUCGGCUGAUCUGUCUGGCUAGGCGGGUGUCCCCUUCCUCCCUCACCGCUCCAUGUGCAUCCCUCUCGAAGCUGAGUGCUCGGUGGAAGAGGAUGACAUCCCAGGUAUAGAAGGAAUAAACCAGGGCUCUUCCACAUUAUACAGUUUAUAGCCCUGUGAUUCCAGAUGCAACGGCUGCAUCCUGUGGAACCCU